GCCCUUCACACAAUAGCAUUCACUCCACAGCUACACCCACUCCGACACAAUAGCAUUCACUCGACCCCGACUCUCUCUUUCCAAAACUCCUACGCCGACCCCGACUCUCUCCCCCACUCCGAAGCCCUGAACCCCAAAUCCACCUCCCUUCGAAGCCCUGAACCCCAAAACCACCGCCCUUCGAAGCCCUGACUCUCUGCUACUAAUCCGAAGCCUUAAACUAGCCCGAAAUCCAAGAUUUGUCUUCGAUUCUAGUAAGUUCUCGUCCUCUAGAUUGGGUUUUUUAUUUGGGGGUAAAAAUUUGGGGGUUUCGGGUUUCUCGUCUUCUCGCCCUAAAUCCCCGACACUCACUUUUGAUUUUGGGUUCUUCAGAAAUCACAAUCACACUUUUGAUGCCGAGUUCUUUACUUUUUUGAUAUCGGGUUCUUCAUAAGGCGGCUAGGGUUAUGGCGAAGAAGGGUGUUCAGAGAGCGACGGUGGGAGAGGGGGAUGAGAUUGGGGUUGGGUAAGGGUUUGGGUUUGGGUGGUGGCAGAGACGCAGAGGCGUCGGCGGAGAGAGAGAGAGAGAGAGAGAGACGAAGCUUGGGCAUGGGAUUGGGAAUGGGAUUGAGCUUGAGGGAGUGACAUGGAGCAAAGAAGGAUUUGAAUUUGGGGUUGGAUUGUAGCUCUACUCUAAAUAUUCUUCCAUGCUUGUCGAUCAUCUUCUUCAGCUCAAAAUCGAUAGACUGGAUUGCAGCAACGAUUCUGGUACCACCAUGUGGAGCCUCAUUAUUUGAUGCUCGUCUAUUGGAUUCUCAAGUCUGCUCAUACUCUCCCUGAAAACACUACACACCGGCUCAAAAUUGGUGCUUCUGUAAUCAAUCAAAGCAGAGAGGUAUACCCUAUAGAUAGUUGCAUUCAUAAUACUAACUUUAAUAUCAAUAUUAGCAUGUAGUUUCUUUCUCUUUUAUCAUCCAAACAGGCAUUUAUUCUUGCCAUGUCUGCUUAGUAAUUGUGUUCCAUAUAAACUGAUAUAUAGUAAAGCAAACCAUCAGUUUGUAGUCUUGAACAAUUCAAAAUGUUAGGAAUUAAAUGUUAAUGUUGCCUUUUGGUUUGGUUAAUGAGUGAGGAAUUUAUCCUAAGGAAUGAUCUGAUUUUGCGCAAAAUAAGUGUUUGUACCUAUUGUUAGGAGAGAAUUUUAAGGAAAAAGGAGGAAAGGCAUAUGUUAGAUAGGUGCUUUGUGUAGUUUUUUUAAGUCAUGGAGUUGCAAUGAAUUCAUUUAGGAGUUGGUUCUGGUUUUUUUUAUAUUUGGAUAUGCUGCUGAAUGACAAAGUCGGAAGUCUGGAGGACGUUAUUUUAGCUCUCGGUGAUGACAUUGUAGUUUCUAGUGCUACAUUGACACUCAACUUUAGCUAUCGUUUUAAAUCCCCACUCAAUUUCAUGUCUUGCAUUGACAUUGUAGUCUCAAGUGGUAUGGUUGCAUGUGUUCUGGACUUUCAUGGUCAUUUAAAAAGCUUGCUCACACUGACCAAUUCCCAGAUUAAGUGUUGAGGUUUCAUUGUUGAUGCCCAACACAUUGUUUAAGAUGACUUGAUUAAAGCUUAACUGCAUAUGUUCAUAGGAUCAUCUUUCUGGCUUCCUCACUCUCUCUGGUUCUAUCUGGUUGAUGUUCAGUUUUUAUGUAAGUUUUGCUGCUAAUUGAUAAUUGGGUGGUUUUUGUAGAAGUUGAAGAUUGUGUGUUCUUAUAUGUGUGGUGUGGAAACCUCAAUUUGAGGUAUAAUGUGCUGAACUUUUACAUAGAGGAAGUGGAAUUACUAUAGUAGUUCCUUCUAAUUGAGUUUAAUGGUCUGCAAAUCACAUUGGAUGGAGAGUUGGAGACUCAAUUGGCAAAUUCACUAGCUGGUUAUACUCUAUGGCUUUUUGUGCAGAAUUCACUUGACUAUGCAACCUUAGGGGCAUCAUCGAAAGUUGCUGCCCUACCUCUAUCAUAUCCAUUCCAGGUGGACAUAUAUUCUUUGCAUUCCUUUGUGUGGGACUGGUUUUGCUUUAGGAAUUUGUGAUCUGGGCUGUAUGAUUUGUUUUUUGUAGCUAACUGCAUAUAAUAAUUUAUUUUUUGUAGUUUUAAUCACAAUUCUUUUCUAGUAACCCCUUCUGUCUUGCAAGAAAGUGGUUUGCUGCAGGUAGAACAAGUGCAAGCAGCUGGAAUCCCUUGUCUUGUCUCAAAAAUCAAUAAAUCAACUCCGUGAAAACUUUGUUUCUAUUGAAAAGUAUGCUCAUGGAAAAUUCUAAAGGCGUUAUGAUUGUAAGGAGAUUGUUUCUGUAGCUUUAGAUGCUUUUUAUAAGUUGUUUUGCAACAUUAAUCUGUUUCUGAUGGUUGAUUUGAGUGCCUUCUGCAUAGCUGAUGUCAAGAAUGCCAAACUUUGAUUGAAAACAUGAUAAGAUAAAGCUUCUCAGCAAUGCGAGGAAUAACUUGAAUACAACCUUAAAGGUUUGUGAACUUUGUUCUUAUGAAUUUUCAAUUUUCUUAGUUGCUACCUUUCUCUGUGUGUGGACCUUUAAGGACUCCAAUGUACUUUAUUUCUUCCCUGUAAUGUUUCUUUAUCUCUCCUUUGUUGUAUCAAAGGCUGCAUCAGUGAAGAUGAGAGCAUGUAACAUGUCAUUACCUUUUAUAUUUCUUUUGAAGGAUGAAGUCCCAACCAAGCCAAGAUUGCCAUCAAGUCCAUACCAAAAGCCUCUGAAAUCAGUCGUGCCACCACUGAUUCCAACUGAAGAUGAGCAGGAGAAGCAAAAAGAAGGCUUCAUGGGAACUCUUGUAAAGCUUUUAGUCGACGCCUGCGCAUCUGUUUUGAAAUUCUUGGGAAAAAGCAUUCAAACUAUCAAGAACAAGGCCAGCAGAAGUAGCAGCAUAAGCAUUCAAUUGGGUUCAUGUUUAAACCCUUAGAACAAUAGAAUACAUGUUUCAGUGUAUAAUGUACAGCUAUGCUUUAUGUUUUAAUAAAACAAGCCUAGUUUUGAUGCA